UGAAGACAUGGUCUUGGCCCCCAAGGAGCAUGGAGUCCAGUGGUGGGAGGCAUCCGGAAAGCAGCAUCAUGGAGGUUGACCUUUCCCAUUUGGCUGAUAGCAACUCAAGGAUCUUCAUGGCAAACUCUUAUUCACCCUUUAAAAUCCAGUCUUUCACAUCUUUGUAUCUCCAACACUUGAUAAAUAAUUAGGGCUUG